AAAGCUAAAAUCAAACGAGAACGAUAAUUUGGCACAAAACCGAUCUUUCGAAAGUGGUUGCGAGUGGAUCCAGCCCUGAUGAUCCGAUUAUUUUUCUCAAGCCAACCUCAUCGUAUUUGUCGGAAGGCAGUUUGAUUCACUUACCUCGUAACCUCGGUGUAAUCUAUUACGAACUAGAGCUGGCCGUUGUAAUCGGAAAAUCAGCUCAUUUUGAACCUCUUGCUCGCCUCGAAAAUGAUCACCACAACUUCCCCUGUU